rnacentral:tRNA from 1 species
UCGACAACUAGAAUGGCGUAGAAUAAAGAUGGAUUCUCUUAGAGAUGAUAAAAUUCACG